AAGAAAUUCAUUUCUAGAUGAGUCUCUCAUACCGGAAAUGUCCCGGUUUUGCGCGUGUGUUCAGGUUCCUUGCGUCGGUUAAGCCACGAUGACGAGUUCAUCGCACGGUCCUGAGCGGGAAACUACUCGCUAGAGAUCCGUCUCUGCGAGCCUGAUGACCGUUCCUAGUUCUUCCUUGUGGAGUCUAGGAGGGGCCGUGCGCCGGCUGAGUGGU